GACGAACGCUGGCGGCGUGCUUAACACAUGCAAGUCGAGCGGUAAGGCCCUUUCGGGGGUACACGAGCGGCGAACGGGUGAGUAACACGUGGGUGACCUGCCCUUAGCUCUGGGAUAAGCCUGGGAAACUGGGUCUAAUACCGGAUAUGACUCCAUAACGCAUGUUGUGGGGUGGAAAGCCUUGUGCGGCUAGGGAUGGGCCCGCGGCCUAUCAGCUUGUUGGUGGGGUGA
rnacentral:rRNA from 1 species